rnacentral:sRNA from 1 species
AAAAAAAAAUCAAAAA